rnacentral:rRNA from 1 species
GGGGGGAAGCUGGAGCCAGCCCUGCCGCGUGAGGGGAGGAAGGCCUUCGGGUUGUAAAACUGUUUUGUUAUGGAAGAAUUGAAGGUAACUAGAGAGGGGGCCCUGCUACUUCCGUGCCAGCAGGCUCGGU